rnacentral:rRNA from 1 species
UACGUAGGGGGCUAGCGUUGUCCGGAAUUACUGGGCGUAAAGGGUGCGUAGGCGGUAUCUUAAGUCAGAUGUGAAAUACCCGGGCUUAACCCGGGGGGUGCAUUUGAAACUGGGAUACUUGAGUGCAGGAGAGGUAAGUGGAAUUCCUAGUGUAGCGGUGAAAUGCGUAGAUAUUAGGAGGAACACCAGUGGCGAAGGCGACUUACUGGACUGUAACUGACACUGAGGCACGAAAGCGUGGGGAGCAAACAGG